rnacentral:rRNA from 1 species
UACGUAGGGCGCAAGCGUUAUCCGGAAUUAUUGGGCGUAAAGAGCUCGUAGGCGGUGUGUCACGUCGGCCGUGAAAACCUGCAGCUUAACUGUGGGCGUGCGGUCGAUACGGGCAUCACUGGAGUUCGGCAGGGGAGACUGGAAUUCCUGGUGUAGCGGUGAAAUGCGCAGAUAUCAGGAGGAACACCGGUGGCGAAGGCGGGUCUCUGGGCCGAUACUGACGCUGGAGGAGCGAAAAGCGUGGGGAGCAAACAGG